rnacentral:rRNA from 1 species
UAAUUUGACUCAACGCGGGAAAUCUUACCAGGUCCGGACACACUGAGGAUUGACAGGAAGUAUCGUCUUUUGAAUUCUUUAAGGAUAUGUCGUUUUUAAUGACAUCUUUUAGAUGGAUGAUUCGUGUAAAUAUGCUAGUUCUUUCAUGAUUAUGUGAUAGGUGGUGCAUGGCCGUUCUUAGUUCGUGGAGUGAUCUGUCUGCUUAAUUGCGUUUCACUAAGGCCCCAAAGUUAGCAAAUUAUCAAUCGUUACAGAGUCGACCCCUCACCUUUGAGUGCGCGUCCUAACUUGUAGUACAUGGUGUAAAUGGAUUUGUUUUGGGUACCCAGAAAGCAACGAACGUGACCGCAACGUCUUGUUGUCUCUCUUUGACAGUUAUGGGUUAUCCCAGUCAUGUGUUUAUACUUUUAUGUGUAAAUACGUACGACACAGAGACUAGAUACCAAACUAGGCGUACCGCUGUAUCAUUUCUUUAAACCAGAGGAAGGUUGCGGCAAUAACAG